rnacentral:misc_RNA from 1 species
AAAAUGCUAUCCUCAUCACAUCCAGUGCGCACAAGCUUCGAGUUGAACCUCUCACCUUCGCAUGAGAGUGGCUUUCGCUUUAUCAUGCGCGAGGGCAAGCUAUUAUCAGGUGCAGGCAGCAAAUAUACGCGAUGUGCGUGCAUGGAUCUUGACAGGAGCAACGGCCGCUUCCUUGAGCAGUGAGCGGAUUCAUGAUAUAACCGCUUUCUGCUCUGGUCGAAGAGCACCAACAUUGCCUGAGAGCUUCCUUAUGUCUAACGCAUCAUCAUCAGUGUAUCAAAGGGUUCCACAAGCGGUAGAGGAGGAAACACUGGCAAAGGAAGAAUUUAUCUUGAGAAAGUGGGAAGUGUGGAACGCUUGGAUGGCCGAGCAGCUUGCUUUGGAAGGUACUGUGCCUGCAGCAGUUUUGUGUUGUAACACCCCCCACAGUGACUGUUUCCACAGGGUGUCACGGUUCUCAAACCGAAGCAUUUCAAGAGUCCAGCCGAAAAAUGCGCGAGGCUUCUCAUCACUGCAGAACUACGCUGCGAACGCAUCAUCGCUUUGUUCUUCCCUCUUCCACUCCCCGCGCAGUAGGCUCGGAGGUGAGGUGACCACAUUCAAAGUCGCGGAUCGUCUCACUGCAAGCGCGGAGCGACGGCGAUACCGUUCGAAAUCGACAAAUGACAGCCGGGAGCUGCUCUUUUGACGGGCACUAGAAUUGGACGACUGCGUCGGUACCGGCGUUCUUGGCGGAAGUUUUGUAUCGCUGGCGCGCCGCACAGCGGCGUUACUUAGGCCUUUGAUGGCUAAGAUGGGCCAAGAGUCGGAGCACACUCGACAUGCGGGUGCAAUGCAACACGGUGAAAGUGAAACAGAUGCCGACAAAAGUCACCGGCAUACAAUUGCGGGGGAGCUUGUGGCUCUAGAUGAUGAGUGGGCGAAGCAAUUCAAAGAGCUCAUUGGGAGUAAACAAGGGUUAUCUACUCUGAAAACUCCUCUCCCCAGGACAAUAAACGGGGCAAAGAGUCACCUGCGAGUAUCGAAUAGUCUUAUUCAGCGUGGUGUGGGAAUACCUAGCCCACCGAAAAGGCCUCUGCUUCUCGCAAACUCGCAGCGCAUAUCCUGUACUGUGAAUGGUGUCUUUCACAUAGACCCAGAGCUCGACCCCUUCGACCGGCACGACGAGAAAGUUAGGGUUGAAGGUAUCAAAACCAGUAAUAUUUUCUUGCUGGAUAGUUUUUCGCCUAAGUCGUACAUUGGGGCACCGUUAGACAGGAGCGCUCUCAGCAUUCUAUUCGUUGAUCAUCACGUCGACGAGGACCAGCUCUCUGCCUAUGGUAUCGAGUUGCCACUCCGUGAAGACUAUCACGCACACGUCUUGCCGGACUGGAAUGAGUCGAGGAUACGUUUUGCACCUAGCCCGCUGGAGAAUCACCAAGAACUCUUGUAGGGCAAUCUCACUCACUCAGGGUGCAUCAAAUUUUUUUUUCGAUUGCGGACCUCUCACGCAUGUAUUCGCUAUUAUUCCUGCUUUUCGUUUCCUGUAUGGUUACUUGGUUUUCUAUCUUCUUUUGCAAUCGGAUGUGACUCUAUCUCUCUUUCUUAUCGUCCUUGUGCAGUUCAGUGCCUUGGACUCGAGCUCGUGGAUCUCAAAAAAAAUUAGCCUUUGCAGUUUGACUUCUCUAUUCCCCACAGGACGGCCUUUCAUAGACUCGCUUACGCAAGCUGUGUGACAGCGAAGCAGAGCAGUUCCGUCGAUUGGGAGCAGGAUUAAAUCUACAUGUAAAUCUUAUUCGCCUUUUUAUAAGGCUUGUCUCUCUUUUUUUGUUGUCUGCUCUGCCUUUAUCCCAUUCACGGCUUUUUGGAGCUAAAGCGACUGUGAAGGACGCGAUCGUUUGAUUUGUUGUGUCUAUGGCCUUGAUGAAGACGGUUUUCUUCGGGAUCGACUGCAACUUUGCCCGCUACACCAAAACACUGGCGACUCUGGGCUACAAGCCAAUCAGUAAGUUGCCUGAGUUGCUAGGCUAGGAUGACAAGGAAAACCAUGAGGUUGACAUCCAGCGAGAUCAUUAUUUACAACGGUGCUGAAAUCACUUCGGCAAUGCUCCCCAACAAUUCCGGAAACAACGAAACGGGAGCACUUAUGACAGGGGACACCUCAAAGUGGUAGUAGAGUUCAGUACCCACUCCCUCUGGAGGAGCCAAGCAGUUCCCCCUAUCCCUUGCGAGUGUCAACCCUCUGCUUGUAGUGACAGGGCCAAGCACCUGCGACGUGGUGAGGUCAGAGCGAUGUGUCGCUGCUGAUGCCGGCGGUGCGCUUCUUGAUGGCGCUGCGUCGGAGAGAGCUGCAACUAUGCAGCCGUUUGUGCCAUGUGUGUGUGACGGGCAGGGUGCCCACGUGACCCCGAUGUGUCCCACCUGGCCCCCACUGCCCACUGGUGAGGGAGCCCGCGCCACCCCGAGGGGAGAUGCAGCAGGGGGCGGCCGGCAUGAUGGGUGAGCGGCUGCGAGGCGCCCUGCUCAGUGGGCGGUGUUUGGGGCCGAGAUCACGCACUGGUGACCGAGUCGGCGCACUGCCGCAACGUGUGUCUAGCGCUGCUUUGCAGCAGGCGGUGGGCGUGCAGCCGGCCUGGGGCAGAGUUGUGCUGGGCCCAUGCCCCCUGGCAGAGAGUAAACAUGUUGGGAAAGAGAAAGAGCAAACUGGAGAAAAUCGUGUAAAUGUGCGGGGUCUAUAAGCUCUCGGGGAUGCGGGUCGUCUGAUCGGAGGGUAUUGUCCCCGUUAUGACGCUGUUGCAGUACAAGACGGGACUCUAGACGGAUCAAGGGGUUGUUAGCGGCGACGCAACACGCAUCACUUACUCGUGAUGGGCUGUCGUCUCGCGCCUUAUGUCAGGUUUGUUGGCCUCUACGCUCGCCCAUCGUAUGCAUGGACUCUCUCGUCUCUAUAUGGCGUCUGAGUAGUGCGAGAACGGAAGCUAAUUGUGCUGUCGCCUACGAAGUCCAGACCCGUGGCUCCAAGAGCAUUCUGCAGGUGACUUUAUGGUCCAUAGCGGCGAUCUCGGCGACGCAUUUUUCCCAUUGCAGGCAGUAGACGUCCCCGUAGAUGUCGAAUGGAGAAACCAGUUUUUCUAUGGCACUGGUUACUUGGUAAAUCUAGCGUUGGCAGCUGACAACUGCGAGACAGCAGGCGGACAAUGCACAACAAGGAAGCAGCGCUAAAUGCGGCAUAUUUUGUGACUGACCACGAAUUACACGAUACAUGGUUGCGGAUGGGCAGAAGUGGAAGUCCGUGUCUUCGCGCGAAUCUGCGAAGUAGCUCAAACGAUGGAUGGCCGUAUACCAGAGUUCUCAGCAAUGCUGGUGGGGCUGCGCGGUUCAUCAUCACAAGAUACCAAGAGGCGCUGGACGAGCAGGACGGUGUGCAGCCCUUCCUGAACCUUGGGAAGGCCCAGCUCGAUGUUUAUCGAAGUGCAAAGCGCGGCGUCUUGCUUCAUGUCUUUCGGAAGGCGAGGGGAGCGGGGAGGUGAGUCAAUCACACACCAGAGGAUGCUAGUCGAUUCUCCGUUGAGCACACUGUCGCUCUCUUAGACACUGAGGAGGACCUUCAGCUCUCCGAACUCUGUGGAGUACGAGUGAUGUCAUCGGCGGCACAUGCAGAGAUGCUGAAGCACGAGCAAAUGGAUAUCCGAUCCUUGCAAUCAGAAAUGGAUUCGGCCACCCUUCUCCGGGCCACUGGGGUGUGAGUGGGCUCUCAAGCAGAUCAUCCCUUUCCAGCAUCAGAAGGCCGCUGUGAACUGACUGCGUGUAUAUGUAUUUUUUUUUAGAGCUUAUUCUCUUCUCUUUCCGUCACAGCUCUACGUUUUGUUUCUUGAUAUUUUUUUCCUACUGAUCACGUUGCAUGCACGUGGCACCGGUUUCUCGAGCGAGAGCCUUCGACCAAAG